rnacentral:rRNA from 1 species
GACGAACGCUGGCGGCGUGCCUAAUACAUGCAAGUUGAGCGCUGAAGGUUGGUACUUGUACCAACUGGAUGAGCAGCGAACGGGUGAGUAACGCGUGGGGAAUCUGCCUUUGAGCGGGGGACAACAUUUGGAAACGAAUGCUAAUACCGCAUAAAAACUUUAAACACAAGUUUUAAGUUUGAAAGAUGCAAUUGCAUCACUCAAAGAUGAUCCCGCGUUGUAUUAGCUAGUUGGUGAGGUAAAGGCUCACCAAGGCGAUGAUACAUAGCCGACCUGAGAGGGUGAUCGGCCACAUUGGGACGGAGACACGGCCCAAACGCCUACGGGAGGCAGCAGUAGGGAAUCUUCGGCAAUGGGCGAAAGUCUGACCGAGCAACGCCGCGGGAGUGAAGAAGGUUGUCGGGUCGUAAAACUCGGUUGGUAGGGAAGAACGUUGGUGAGAGUGGAAAGCUCAUCAAGUGACGGUAACUACCCAGAAAGGGACGGCUAACUACGUG